UACGUAGGGGGGCAAGCGUUGUCCGGAAUCAUUGGGCGUAAAGCGCGUGUAGGCGGCUCGGGUAGUCUGGUGUGAAAUCUUUCGGCUCAACCGGAAGCGGUCACUGGAUACUCUCGGGCUUGAGUCCGGAAGAGGAGAGUGGAAUUCCUGGUGUAGCGGUGGAAUGCGUAGAUAUCGGGAGGAACACCAGUGGCGAAGGCGACUACCUGGCCUGUUCUUGACGCUGAGGCGCGAAAGCUAGGGGAGCAACGGG
rnacentral:rRNA from 1 species